UCACUUUCCUGACACAAAACACACUGACAUCAAGAAGGUUAUUUUCACAGGGUAAGAUUUAUCCAUUGCACUCCCAAUGUAUUGACCUCUGUGAUUUCCCCAAAUUUGGGACAUUUGACUGUGUCGUUUUGGUAUUAAGGGAUUACAUUCACUCUCCCUCA
ensembl:snRNA U1 U1 spliceosomal RNA